rnacentral:rRNA from 1 species
CCUACGGGGGGCAGCAGUGAGGAAUAUUGGUCAAUGGGCGCGAGCCUGAACCAGCCAAGUAGCGUGAAGGAUGACUGCCCUACGGGUUGUAAACUUCUUUUAUAAAGGAAUAAAGUGAGGCACGUGUGCCUUUUUGUAUGUACUUUAUGAAUAAGGAUCGGCUAACUCCGUGCCAGCAGCCGCGGUAAUACGGAGGAUCCGAGCGUUAUCCGGAUUUAUUGGGUUUAAAGGGUGCGUAGGUGGGUUGGUAAGUCAGUUGUUAAAGUUUGCGGCUCAACCCUAAAAUUGCAAUUGAUACUGGCAGCCUUGAGUACAGUUGAGGUAGGCGGAAUUCGUGGUGUAGCGGUGAAAUGCUUAGAGAUCACGAAGAACUCCGAUUGCGAAGGCAGCUUACUAAACUGCCACUGACAUUGAGGCUCGAAAGUGUGGGGAGCAAACAGGAUUAGAUACCCGAGUAGUC